rnacentral:rRNA from 1 species
CCUACGGGCGGCUGCAGUAGGGAAUCUUCCACAAUGGGCGAAAGCCUGAUGGAGCAACGCCGCGUGGGUGAAGAAGGUCUUCGGAUCGUAAAACCCUGUUGUUAGAGAAGACAGUGCGUGAGAGUAACUGUUCACGUUUCGACGGUAUAUAACCAGAAAGCAACGGCUAACUACGUGCCAGGAGCCGCGGUAAUCCGUAGGUGGCAAGCGUUAUCCGGAUUUAUUGGGCGUAAAGUGAACGCAGGCGGUCUUUUAAGUCUGAUGUGAAAGCCGUCGGCUUAACCGGAGUAGUGCAUUGGAAGCUGGGGGACUUGAGUGCAGAAGAGGAGAGUGGAACUCCAUGGG